AGGGUAAUGGGGUAUAGUGGUUUGAGUGUUGGACCGUGACUCCAGAGAGCAGGGUUCGAGUCCCUGUUGGGCUA